UCUGAGAAACAGCCAGCAAAAGACACGGGCUGCCUAGAGCUAAUGCAUUUCGGAACUGCUCUGAGCCUCCCUCUCUGUGGUCAUGGGAGGAGCUUCAGCACAAACCCCAGAUUACAGCGGGCACAGAAUUCAAAUGUCACAAUGGGGCCAGUGGAUCCAUGGUUUCAGCAACCUAACCAACUUGGAAUUGAGGGUUCAAAUUGAGGUUCUGAGGCACUAAUGGAACCGCAGUUCGGAAUAAAUUUAGCAUUCAGAUGGUCAGGAGCAUCGACCUCAGCCCCUGAAAAUGUGCUCCUGAGAGCAGUGGGAGCAGAAGGUUGACAAAUGGAAAUGUGUGAUGGAGCAUAAGAGAAGCAGCCAGACAUCUCUACCAGGAGACAAUGAAUCAAGCUGUUUGUAAAUGAUAUUUCCAAUUUGCAAAGAAGACCUCCCCACUCUCCAGCAAAUUCUUGCUGUGUCUGAAUUACCAGGCUGACUAACUUUUCAUAAUAGAAUUAUACUCAAACAAAACAAGCCUCAUCCUUUGAAUAGGGAUUAAAAGCUUGAGAGUUCUGUAAGUUAGAAU